UGGCGGACGGGUGAGUAAUGUCUGGGAAACUGCCUGAUGGAGGGGGGUAACUACUGGAAACGGUAGCUAAUACCGCAUAACGUCGCAAGACCAAAGAGGGGGACCUUCGGGCCUCUUGCCAUCGGAUGUGCCCAGAUGGGAUUAGCUAGUAGGUGGGGGAAGGGCUCACCUAGGCGACGAUCCCUAGCUGGUCUGAGAGGAUGACCAGCCACACUGGAACUGAGACACGGUCCAG
rnacentral:rRNA from 1 species